CGUGAGGAACCUGCCUUGGAGAGGGGAAUAACACUCCGAAAGGAGUGCUAAUACCGCAUGAUGCAGUUGGGUCGCAUGGCUCUGACUGCCAAAGAUUUAUCGCUCUGAGAUGGCCUCGCGUCUGAUUAGCUAGUAGGCGGGGUAACGGCCCACCUAGGCGACGAUCUGUAGCCGGACUGAGAGGUUGACCGGCCACAUUGGGACUGAGACACGGCCCAG
rnacentral:rRNA from 1 species